UACAGAGGUCUCAAGCGUUGUUCGGAUUCAUUGGGCGUAAAGAGCGCGCAGGCGGUCGACCAAGUCGCGUGUGAAAGCCCCCGGCUCAACUGGGGAGGGUCACGCGAUACUGAUCGACUCGAAGGCAGGAGAGGGUAGUGGAAUUCCCGGUGUAGUGGUGAAAUGCGUAGAUAUCGGGAGGAACACCAGUGGCGAAGGCGACUACCUGGCCUGUUCUUGACGCUGAGGCGCGAAAGCUAGGGGAGCAAACGGG
rnacentral:rRNA from 1 species